UACGUAGGGUGCGAGCGUUGUCCGGAAUUACUGGGCGUAAAGAGCUCGUAGGUGGUUUGUCGCGUUGUCCGUGAAAACUCACAACUCAAUUGUGGGCGUGCGGGCGAUACGGGCAGACUGGAGUACUGCAGGGGAGACUGGAAUUCCUGGUGUAGCGGUGGAAUGCGCAGAGUAUCAGGAGGAACACCGGUGGCGAAGGCGGGUCUCUGGGCAGUGAACUGACGCUGGAGGAGCGAAAGCGUGGGGAGCGAACAGGA
rnacentral:rRNA from 1 species